UGUUAACCAUACGAUGGCAGAGCUCACUCUCCAGUGCCUCCAACGCCGAGGCUGAAAUUGUGAAGAAGAGCAUACCGUGGCCACCACAACAAAAGUACGGCAACGACUGUGAUUUAUUUUCCCCUCCCCACAGUGUAGUAAAUUAGUGUCCUCCAAUAACAUAGAUAUGCCCAACGCUUAAUAGUGUUUCAAACGCGUGGCAUAAUUUCGGAAGCAUGUUACAGAGGAGCACACAUCGCUGCUCUAUACAGUACUGGCACAGUCCGCUCAGGCAUCAAUUCUAAAAUAUCAUCCCUGAUUGGCCUUUCACCUGGUGGAUGAUAGCUGGACGAACAACCCCACCCGGUGGUCAGCCCUCUCCAGCCCUCAAUCCAUCACUGUCCCGCUGAUCAAUAAUCAAUCUGCAGGGGCCGAGGCCAGUGGCCCGGUGCCAUCCGUCUCCAUCGGCGAACACGGGGGCGAGAGGCGGCGAGUGCGCGAGAAAGAGAUGGGAGAGGAGGAGACAGAGUUCAAUCCAUCCCCAAUACGCGGUCAAGUCUGCUCUGCUGGUAUGGAUCAUCAUUUGGAGAGGUGUAAUUGCUGGUCAAAAGGGUGGGGGGGGGGGAUUCUACAGGGGGGUACACGGGCUGCAUCAAUAACAUUUCGACAGGCCAUGCUGUC